CACACUUAAUCAUAGUGAAUGUAAACAGAUUAUAUUUCCCAUCCUGCAUCGCUCUGUAGGCGCUUUAUUUCAUUGGUCAAUUUACCGAGGCGCCAUUUUUGGAGGAUCGAGAAGGACGAAGAAGAAGGUGUAAGCAGCUGGUAAAUGUGAAAAGUUAAGAUGGUUUCACCACCCAGUGUCUUUAAGACUGUGAUAAAUGCAAUGGCCAACGAUGAAGGAUUAGUAGAGAAGAAAACUGUGUAACUUUAAAAGAAAACCAGUGAGAUAAAAUCAUAGAAAAUGUAUGAUGAUUCAGGAUGUGGUCAUUUGUGACAUUAAAACAGGAAUUAUCUUCACCAAUAGACGAAUUUCACAUUCCUAAGAGUUUUUUCCAAUUGUUGGCGUAUCGCUCAUUUUUUCCACUUUGUCCUUUGUCCUGUUCUGUGGAUGCCCUAAGACAGUGUCUACCCAUCACUCCAUCUGAUAUCACUUGUUCUGAGCAUAUUUCUCUCUCAAACUUAAACUACAGAGAGCCUGUGGAUAGUGGAUGAAGAGUGACCUUGGACCAAUUUUCUAGGUCAAAGAUCAAAGGUGAUGUGAAGAAAUCCAGGAAACUGAUGUUGAAAGAAGUACUUAAUUACCCUUAUGAAUGGACUUAAAUGUGAAAGACUGUUCCAUUGUUU